GGAGCCUACCCUCACAGAGGCGUAGCUCCUUAAAGAUAGUGGCAGAGCGGAAUCCGUCUCUAAGCGUAGUAAAAUACCAUUUCUCGCUUCUGUAGGUGGUUCCGUCUCCCGCCGUAAAACCCUAUUUUCCAAUGGUUGACCUCGGAUCAGGUAGGAAUACCCGCUGAACUUAAGCAUAUCAAUAAGCGGAGGAAAAGAAACCAACAGGGAUUGCCCUAGUAACGGCGAGUGAAGCGGCAACAGCUCAAAUUUGAAAUCUGGCUCUCGGGCCCGAGUUGUAAUUUGUAGAGGAUGCUUUUGGCGCGGUGCCUUCCGAGUUCCCUGGAACGGGACGCCUUAGAGGGUGAGAGCCCCGUACGGUUGGACACCAAGCCUCUGUAAAGCUCCUUCGACGAGUCGAGUAGUUUGGGAAUGCUGCUCUAAAUGGGAGGUAAAUUUCUUCUAAAGCUAAAUACCGGCCAGAGACCGAUAGCGCACAAGUAGAGUGAUCGAAAGAUGAAAAGCACUUUGAAAAGAGGGUUAAAUAGCACGUGAAAUUGUUGAAAGGGAAGCGUUUGCGACCAGACCUUCUGCAGGCGGAUCAUGUGGUGUUUUCACCGCUGCACUUCGCCUGCUGUAGGCCAGCAUCGGUUUCCGCUGGGGGAUAAAAACUGGGGGAAAGUAGCUCUCUUCGGGGAGUGUUAUAGCCCCUUGUAUAAUGCCCCGGCGGGGACCGAGGACCGCGCU
rnacentral:rRNA from 1 species